rnacentral:rRNA from 1 species
AUUGAACGCUAGCGGGAUGCUUUACACAUGCAAGUCGAACGAGUGGCGGACGGGUGAGUAAUAUAUCGGAACGUGCCCAGUAGCGGGGGAUAACUACUCGAAAGAGUGGCUAAUACCGCAUACUAUUGGAGCGGCCGAUAUCGGAUUAGCGAGUGGGUGGGGUAAAGGCUCACCAAGGCCACGAUCCGUAGCGGGUUUGAGCGGAAGACAGGCCAAACUGGGACGUAGACACGGCACUGACUCCUACGGGAGGCAGCGGUGGGGAAUUUUGGACAAUGGGGUAAACCCUGAUCCAGCCAUCCCGCGUGUAUGAUAAGGCCUUAGGGUUGUAAAGUACUUUUGGCAGAGAAUCGGUAUCUGCAGAAUAAGCACCGGCUAACUACGUGCCAGCCGCCGCGGUAAUAC